rnacentral:tRNA from 1 species
GGCCCCAUCGUCUAGUUCGGUCCAGGACGCUUGGUUUUCAUCCAAGAAAUCAGGGGUUCGAAUCCCCUUGGGGCCACCA